rnacentral:rRNA from 1 species
AUUGAACGCUGGCGGCAGGCCUAACACAUGCAAGUCGAACGAGUGGCGGACGGGUGAGUAAUGUCUGGGAAACUGCCUUAUGGAGGGGGAUCACUACGGGAAACUGUAGCUAAUACCGCAUACCAUCAGAUGUGCCCAGGUGGGAUUAGCUUGUUGGUGGGGUAACGGCUCACCAAGGCGACGAUCCCUAGCUGGUCUGAGAGGAUGACCAGCCACACUGGAAAUGAGACACGGUCCAGACUCCUACGGGAGGCAGCAGUGGGGAAUAUUGCACAAUGGGAGCAAGCCUGAUGCAGCCAUGCCGCGUGUAUGAAGAAGGCCUUCGGGUUGUAAAGUACUUUCAGUGGGGAGGCGUUACCCGCAGAAGAAGCACCGGCUAACUCCGUGCCAGCAGCCGCGGUAAUAC